GAAACAAACCCAAUUCUUCAAACUUGAUUUUGAAGAGAACGGUUCCAUGGAGAGGGUCACCCUCUUCCUGAACUUGGCAAAUGAUCACACGAUCAAACGUAUCAUCACCCCUUGAAUUUCCCUAACAACAGCGAAUAUUUGGCAUAUGAAUGUGGGAAGCACGUUCUUGUCAUCUUGACAUAUAAGAGUUCAUAUGCAGAUGCACUUCAUGAGAUUUGCUAAUUUGCGCUGGCGGCCAGUUGGACAACUGUGGCUGCUCAAUGACCAUCAAUCAUCAGGUACGAGUUGGCAUCUAAAAUUCAUAGGCUUCUAGGGUAUGCUGCAAAUUAUUGCCAGACGGAUGUAAACUUUCUCUUCGUUCAUCUCUCCCGGUUGUGCUGCUGGUACUACUGUUUCUUGGUUUUGUCUCAAGAAAACAACCACAACCUAUUUUGCUUGAUCGCCCAGUUUUGCGUAUAUAUAGCUUUGGUUGUUCUUACCUAGCCUUUUAUAUCCGCCAUAAAUAUUUCUUAUUAUGAUUAUUUGCUUUGUGUUCUUGAUUAUUUGAUCUGUGUUCUUAAUUGGGACGAGCUAGGAGGAACAGACAACAUUUAGCUUCCGGGAUCUCUGUUUCAAAUGACUCGAUGCGGCCUUGGCGAUGGUCCUGCUAGAGAGUUCGUCGAUGGCAGCAGCAAGCAGUCCCAAGGCAUAGGUAAGCUCCUUUGUUUGAUAUAUUUUAGCUUCGUCCAGCAGGGUGGGCAACCGUCUUCUUCUCUUCAAUUAAUCAUAUCUAUCUGUGUAGGUUUCACUGGAUUUAAUUUUAGUUUUGUCUGCAUUGAGUUUGUUGUUUGAUUAUUUUAUCAAGUGGAACCUGGCUUCUCAUGGACCUCCCAGCAUUUACCUAAGCAAUGGUUACUAUACUAUACACAUCAACUACAGUUGCGGAGAUCUGAACUACAAAUUGCCCUAUGGUGUAUUAACUCUGAAAUAUCAUGCACAAUCAUGUACAUUAAAUGUUUGAAUAAGUAGGAUGUUCUUGCUUAACAUAGUUUACUGCAGCAAAUACUUUGUAUGUGCUUCCAAAGUUCUCUUGCUUGCCGGCCGCUUCUGUUGCAUCCUUCUGGCAACCUGAGAGUAAACUGCUGGAGGUGAUAUAACGUUCUCCCUUCCAUUGCAUGGUUUGCUGCCAAUGCUCACUAUUCUUUUGCAUUUCUUCUAUGGCUAAAAGUCGUCCAACAAUUUUCAUAUGUACCUGCUUCUUCUGCAGAUGUUAUUAUUGCAUUAGCGAACUGCUCGUCUGUAAUUUUUUCUCUGCGAAAUAAAUACACAUGCAUAAUUUUUAUUUUAUCAUCUGCAAUUCUGGUUUAUUUUAUAGUCUUGGUUGAG